rnacentral:rRNA from 1 species
GAUGAACGCUGGCGGCGUGCCUAAUACAUGCAAGUCGAGCGAGUGGAUUAAGAGCUUGCUCUCUGAUGGCGAGUGGCGAACGGGUGAGUAAUGCAUCGGAACGUACCGUGUAAUGGGGGAUAACGUAGCGAAAGUUACGCUAAUACCGCAUACGACCUGAGGGUGAAAGCAGGGGAUCGCAAGACCUUGCGUUAUACGAGCGGCCGAUGUAAGAUUAGCUAGUUGGUGAGGUAAAGGGUCACCAAGGCGAGGCUCUGUAGCGUGUCUGAGGGGAUGAUCCACACCACGGGGACUGGGACACGGCCCAAACUCCUACGGGAGGCAGCAGUGGGGAAUUUUGGACAAUGGGGGCAACCCUGAUCCAGCCAUGCCGCGUGAGUGAAGAAGGCCUUCGGGUUGUAAAGCUCUUUCGGCCGGGAAGAAAUCGCACAGGCUAAUACUCUGUGUGGAUGACGGUACCGGCAUAAGAAGCACCGGCUAACUACGUGCCAGCCGCCGCAGUAA